rnacentral:rRNA from 1 species
AAUAUUGGACAAUGGGGGCAACCCUGAUCCAGCCAUGCUGCGUGUGUGAAGAAGGUCAUCGGAUUGUAAAGCACUCUAAGAUGGGAGGAAGGGCUUUAGGCUAAUACCCGGAAGUUUUGACGUUACUAACAGAAUAAGCCCCGGCUAAUGCUUUGCCAGCAGGCGCUGUAAUACAGAAGGUGCAAGCGUUAAUCGGGAUUACUGGGCGUAAAGCGCGCGUAGGUGGUUCAGUAAGAUGGGUGUGAAAACCCCGGGCUUAAACUGGGAACUGCUUUCAUAACUGCUGAGCUAGAGUACGGUAGAGGGUAGUGGAAUUUCCUGUGUAGCGGUGAAAUGCGUAGAUAUAGGAAGGAACACCAGUGGCGAAGGCGACUGCCUGGACUGAUACUGACACUGAGGUGCGAAAGCGUGGGGAGCAAACAG